GGGGAUAUGAUGGAAUUGGUAGACGUAACGGACUUAAAAUCCGUUGGUUCUUUGAACCGUGAGGGUUCAAGUCCCUCUAUCCCCA
rnacentral:tRNA from 1 species